GACGAACGCUGGCGGCGUGCCUAAUACAUGCAAGUAGAACGCUGAAGCGAGGAGCUUGCUCUUCUUGGAUGAGUUGCGAACGGGUGAGUAACGCGUAGGUAACCUGCCUGGUAGCGGGGGAUAACUAUUGGAAACGAUAGCUAAUACCGCAUAAAAUUGAUUAUUGCAUGAUAAUUAAUUGAAAGAUGCAACUGCAUCACUACCAGAUGGACCUGCGUUGUAUUAGCUAGUUGGUGAGGUAACGGCUCACCAAGGCGACGAUACAUGGCCGACCUGAGAGGGUGAUCGGCCACACUGGGACUGGGACACGGCCCAGGCUCCUACGGGAGGCAGCAGUAGGGAAUCUUCGGCAAUGGGGGGAACCCUGACCGAGCAACGCCGCGGGAGUGAAGAAGGUUUUCGGAUCGUAAAGCUCUGUUGUAAGAGAAGAACGGGUGUGAGAGUGGAAAGUUCACACUGUGACGGUAGCUUACCAGAAAGGGACGGCUAACUACGUG
rnacentral:rRNA from 1 species